GAUGAACGCUAGCGGCAGGCUUAACACAUGCAAGUCGAGGGGUAACAUAGGUGCUUGCAUCUGAUGACGACCGGCGAACGGGUGCGUAACGCGUAUAGAAUCUGCCUUGUACAGGAGGAUAACCUUUAGAAAUGAAGACUAAUACUCCAUAAUGUUAAUGAAUGGCAUCAUUUAUUAAUUAAAUAUUUAUAGGUACAAGAUGACUAUGCGUUCUAUUAGCUAGAUGGUAAGGUAACGGCUUACCAUGGCAACGAUAGAUAGGGGGUCUGAGAGGACUAUCCCCCACACUGGUACUGAGACACGGACCAGACUCCUACGGGAGGCAGCAGUGAGGAAUAUUGGACAAUGGAGGCAACUCUGAUCCAGCCAUGCCGCGUGCAGGAAGACUGCCCUAUGGGUUGUAAACUGCUUUUAUACAGGAAGAAACCGUGGUACGUGUACCACCUUGACGGUACUGUAAGAAUAAGGACCGGCUAACUCCG
rnacentral:rRNA from 1 species